CUUCCAUAAGGGAAGGUUCUCUACCUGGGGUUUCUUCCUUUUGGAGUGUUUAGUAAGGCCCUGAUCCUUAGGAUAGAAGAAAGACCUUUGGAAUACAGCAUGUACGCAUUUGCUCCCACCUUUCCCUCCCAAGUUUUUCCAUUAUCAGCAGAGUAAUCGCUGACCCAACACGUUAACUCAAGAAGCACCAAAGAGCAAAAAUCUUACUGGAGAAGGAUAAUUGCAACGACUCUCCAAGGGCUCACUGUUCUUCCACCCAUCAGUAGAUGCAGUGCUGAGGAGAUAAGGGAUUUUUUUUCACUCCCUCCUCACCCCACGCUUUCCCUGGGACUCUUCCAAGAACAACCCUCGUGCCAUUCUCUCCCACCAAAGGCACAAAGAACUUCUUUUACUGACCCACUGGCUGUUCAGGAUACAA
rnacentral:lncRNA from 1 species